UCACAUGUUCUGUUAGAUUCCAAAAACAAAAAUCAUCUGGUAGUGUUUCAUCUGCUACUCGAGCUGUAAUCUAACCAACAAGAAGGUGUAUUUUGAAGGUUUUAUUUGCAAAAAGGAACACAAGCCUCCAUCCAAUAAGGUAUUUUUAAAUAAUAUACAGAGUUCCCACUAUGAUUAAUCUUCGCGUAAUAUGGAAGAAAACUUACGCACUAUGAAGUAGGAAAGCCUAUCAACAGCAUAAAGAACAAAAGCACUGAAACCAUGUCUUUCGGCUCAAGUGUUGAUUGACGCAAUAAACUCAAAAAGUCUGGGAUGAUUGCAGCAUUUUGUCAUGUUUAAAUUUGACCCGGAAGUUUAUAUCCAUAGAACCCUCUCUAGCUGGGAAGAUCAUGAGGGAGAAGCAUCAGCAAUCUUCAACACUACUUGCGAGUGCGGCCGCAAUCACUGCACAAGCCACUUAAAUGACGACACAUUCACUCUCGUUUAGCAAUUUUCAAGCUCGGAGUUCGUAUUGUCAAAAUCUACGACAGUUUAUUCCACAAAACUUUGAAAUUAUCACGUAAGGUCUGCUUGUGGACAAAGGAAUAUCUUAAAGUCUAUCAUUCGUCACAAUGUCUGAGAUUGAUGCAUUUCAGUCAAAUAUCAAUGAUGCAAAAUGUAAAGUGAAGUGCUACAACUGAAACUCCUAUCGAUGCAUAAGAACUUCACCUAUGGUAGUCGAUGAUUUAUAAUUAAGGACUGGAAGGCAAUUUGUAUGCUCUUCAGAUAGAUUAUUUUCCAUUCACUUGCUGAAUGCCUUUCGAUCCGCUCAUAAAUGAUACGGUUAAGAUAAGCGCAAUCCUUUAGCUUUGCCUUCCAUUUCUUUACUGUGCAGCCAGAGGAUUAUAAAAGAACUUUUUGUCCAGCAUCUGACGUCUUUAAGUUCCACUCUAAGAACUUGGUAGUGCAAGGACGAUAACAUUUCAAGACAACAAGUUUUGCUCAAGAAGAACUUGGGGUUCAGAAUUGGUUUAUUGAGCUUUUUAUAUUGUUUAUUAUUUGUUUUCAAAUAAAAAUAAAAUAAAAAUUGAGUUUUUGGGUUACAAAAAUCAUAGCUAGACUUUAUUUUAUUUUAUUAGAGAGGUAGCUAUAAACUAAAUUGUGUUUGUUUUUGUAUUUUAAAAUGUUUUUUUAAAAAAUUAAAUUUUUAUUAUUUUUUCUUUGUUUUAAAUUCAUAUUAUUUUUGUAUUUUUAAAUUUUUUUGAUGUGUAGAUAUUAAAAAUAAUUUUUUAAAAUAUUAUUUUAAUAUAUUUCUAAACAAAAAACACUUUAAAAAAUAAUCAUUACCAAACUAUCAAACACUUUUAAAUUAUUUGUUUUCACAUAAAAAUAAAAUAAAAAUUGAGUUUUUAGGUUACAAAAAUCAGAGCUAGACUUUAUCAUUGACCAUAAAAAAAAUAGGCAGG
rnacentral:lncRNA from 1 species